ensembl:lncRNA
AUGGAUAAUAUUCAGAAUUCUAAGAGUGAGAUAGAGGAGGUGAAAGUUGCUAUGCUGGAAAAUGAAAAUAAAGCAGAAGAACUCAAAGAUGUCAGUCAAAAACCUGCAAAGCCUCAGUGCACCAGGAAAAAAUGUAAGGAAUCUGCUGUGAACCAGAAGAUGGAGUACCUGCGGGCUAAUAAAGGACUUGUAGCCACUGUAUUGAUUUCAGCUGCUCUUAUAUUUGCUGUUGUGGUUGCCAUGCUUGUCACUACAGAUGGGCACAGUCACUCAGUGCACAACACAAAACACAUUGUGCACGUUCAUAAUGUCACAGAAAUGCCAUAG